AGCUCGCCAGAGGAAAAAGGAAACAGAAACUCCGCAACUUGCGCCUUGGAAAUACUGCCGGCUAGCGCUGCGGGAAACGGCUCCCCUUAACUCUGAAGUUCCGCGAUCUUCUCUUUGUGCGCGGGCGGAUGGAUCAACGCCGCCAAGUGGGGAAAGCGCGAAUGCAGUCCCCCACUACAACAAAUUAUGCAGUCGAGUUUUCCACAUUUGGGAAUAUCACAGGGGUCAGCACAUCCGGAGUGCAAUCGAUGAGCCCCACGCUGGGAAAAACCACCUUCGUGAUCAUGGUAUCUUCCCUGCCAGAGAGAAACCAAUCAGCUUCAUUUUCAACUUCUUCUAUGACUCCAGAGGAUUCACUUUGCAUCUUGUGACAAAUGAAUAUAUUACCUGAAAAAAAAAUGACAGGAUAGAUAUUGAAGAAAUAAUUUUUUAUAGGACUCUGGAGUGAAGGGAUUAAUAUUGACCAGAGCCAAUGAGGUCAUCUCAUCCUUGAGGGGAGCAGGUGUGAGCUUCAAAUGCUUAGGGCCUCUGGAAGGAAGCUUCCCUGUUGGAGAAAUCACCAACCGGCUCAGCAUGGUCUGAAUGAGGAUGACAAAAGGAGUUGCUGCACAGGGGGAAAGCGAAGUUCCCAGGAGUAAGAUGUGCAAGAAGCGGGCAGCCUUGCAUCUCAGGGCUGAGUUCCCUCAACUGUGUGCUUGAGGGAAGUUCUCCCCUUGCAGACACACUGCUGAGUGAUAAGGAAGCACCUAGACUCCACUCUGACCAGACUUGGUUCUGAGGCCUAUGAAAUGUUGAUGGGAAGAACAGAAGCAGGAAAAUCUAUCUAUUCAAAUUUGCAAGACGUGGAAACUUUUAUUCACCUUCCUGGUUAGACUGUUCCUUUGUCAAAGUAAAGCUAAGGCCAUGGAAAAUGAGCUAUUUGAGAGUUUGUCGCUCCAAGGAAGAACAUGCUGGCCUAAUUGUCCCCCAAGUCAGGAGAGAGAAUUGUAAAAAACACUUAAACAGGCCUAAGUAAAGGUCCAGCACAUUAUUUAUUUAAGACUGAAUUAGAACUGAGUCAUUCCGACUCUGAAAAAAGAGUGUUGUUGGAUUCUUAUGUAUUUAAUGGGUCUGCCCUAUUGAAAACCAUUGUGAAGUAUGGUUUCCCAAGCAAGAAAUGACACUUUCACUGUCAGUCUUUCUAGGAGUCUGGCAGAAUCCAGGACCGGGAUUACCCUUAUUUAUGAAGCGACCUUAGACUAACAGUGGCUCUCUGGGUCUCCAGACAAUUGGCCAGGGACUCUAAAAACCAGAAACAAAGUUGAGAGAACUCCAUGCUGGUGGAGAAAAACAGCUGGCCUUUAUCACCAGAAUGUGCCCCAUAGAAGCAGCAAAGCAGCAAGCGACGUUCUUAAACAAGGGCCUGUGGGCCUCGUCAAGAUCUGGAGGAAUCAUCUACGACUCACUGCUGAGUGAGAGGGCUAGGCAGUGUCUUUAAGGUCCUGCCAGCUUUAACAUUGUAUGCUUUUUCUUUUGUUCAAUCUCUCACCACAACUGGAAGUGUUGCCUCAACUACACAGGAGAAAGUUUGCAGUAACUUAGAGAAAACAUUAUUUUAAUCACCAGUGUAUGUUCUCCUGCUCCCUGGACAAAUCCAUCAGCAGCGGCAACACUGACCAGGUCCAGAUUGGGGCCGCUGCGGUGGAUGUGAAUCCAUUGAAACUAGGGGUCUCCAGUGCUCCUGA
rnacentral:lncRNA from 10 species